GAUCAUGGCUCAGGAUGAACGCUAGCUACAGGCUUAACACAUGCAAGUCGAGGGGCAGCAUGGUCUUAGCUUGCUAAGGCCGAUGGCGACCGGCGCACGGGUGAGUAACACGUAUCCAACCUGCCGUCUACUCUUGGACAGCCUUCUGAAAAUGAAAGAUUAAUACAAGAUGGCAUCAUGAGUCCGCAUGUUCACAUGAUUAAACGGUAUUCCGGGUAGACGAG
rnacentral:rRNA from 1 species